rnacentral:rRNA from 1 species
GACGAACGCUGGCGGCGUGCUUAACACAUGCAAGUCGAACGGAAAGGCCUUUUCGGAGGUACUCGAGUGGCGAACGGGUGAGUAACACGUGGGUGAUCUGCCCUGCACUCUGGGAUAAGCCUGGGAAACUGGGUCUAAUACCGGAUAGGACCGCACUUUAGUGUGUGUGGUGGAAAGUUUUUUCGGUGUAGGAUGAGCCCGCGGCCUAUCAGCUUGUUGGUGGGGUAAUGGCCUACCAAGGAGGCGACAGGUAGCCAUACUAAGAGUUUAGUGGUCCACAUUAACACUGAGAUACGGCCCAGACUCCUACGCGAAGCAGCAGUGGGAAAUAUUACACAAUGCGCGCAAGCCUGAUGCAGCGACGCCGCGUGGGGGAUGACGGCCUUCGGGUUGUAAACUCCUUUCGCCAGGGACGAAGCGUUUUGUGACGGUACCUGGAGAAGAAGCACCGGCUAACUACGUG